rnacentral:rRNA from 1 species
AUGCAUGAGAUUGCCCUGCAUGAGGUUGACAUCCCGGAUAUGGCCCUGCCUGAGAUUGUUCUUCUUGAGAUUGCCCUCCCUGCCCUUCUUCAGGCUGGUCUCCCUGAGAGUGCUUUGCCUGAGACCACCCCAUUUGAGGUUGCUCUCCCUGAGUGUGCUUUGCCUGAGACUGCCCCAUUUGAGGCUGCUCUCCCUGUGACUGCCCCAUUUGAGGUUGCUCUUCCUGAGAGUGUUUUGCCUGAGAUUGCCCUUCCUCAUAUUGAGUGUGUGGGUAGGAUUCUGGCUCUCGCUGUUGUGUAA